rfam:Pichia membranifaciens DNA, contig: CON004, strain: KS47-1.
GGGUGUGUGGCCGAGAGGUUAAGGCGUCAGGAUCAGAACCUGAUUUUCUUAGGAUUUCCUGGGUUCGAACCCCAGCACACUCA